UCCUUUCUAGUGCCCACUGUGAUCUCAUGGGAAGAAAAGUAUUCUGUCUACCAAGGGGUUUUCGUUCAUUUUUACUGUAUUUAUUUUGUUGAGGUUUCUUUUUUCCUGCCUCUUCAUACUCAAAACUGUUAGUACAAAAAUAUUGACUUAGGAAUUGUAAAAAAAACAAAACAAAAACAAAACAAAAACAAAACAAAAAAAAAACUCCUUAAGUUCCUUAAGGAUGUUUAUCUUUCUGCUUUUUUCUUUAAUUUAAAUUUUUUAAAAGACACUUUCCUAUGUUAGGAGUGCAAGAUAAAUAGCCUGCAUUUCAGAUUUUGAUAUGUUCAUAUUUAAGAAAUUAUAGCUUCAUAUCCCUUUUUUCAAAAUAUGUUGCUUUUUUUCUAAAGGAAUUUUAGUAUAUUCCUUUAAAAGAAAGCAAUUAAAUCAAUUGCAAAGCAAUUAUAUGAAACCACAAAGAAUGUAUUGAACCUGCUAAUCCUUUAACAUAGUUUGGGGUCCUAGUGCAAAGUCCUUGUUUAAAGGUCAUUGACCCUGUUAUCUAUCAGUAAUAGAGGUUUGGAAUCACUCACAUGCAGAAAAAGGACUUAAAAUUUGGUGAGAUAUAAUGUUUUUUAAGUUCUUUGAAAAUAUUAAUUUUGAAAAAAGAAGUUUCUAAAUGCUAUUUGCUUUUAGCUAGUAUCUGCCUAUGUUGGGAAUUUAGAACAAUUUUCAGUUAUGUAGAGAUGGUGGUUAUGGAAACAUUUAUUUACAGUUUAUCUUCUGAACUUAAAGUUCAUACUCACUAAGAGGAUCUGUGUUUGAUACAAAGAGUGUUUGGUUUGGUUUGGUUUUUUUUUUUUUUCCUUGCUAAAUCUCUGUUGAACAUCUGAAUACAUUUGUAUGAUCCUUUCAACCAACCUGAGCUUGUGGUUUGAUUUAGGGCUAAGUCAUCGGCAUCACAAGAUGAGCUCAUUGUGUUGUUGCAAUAAUUGUGCCGUUAGCUAACGUACUGAGAUCGUUUUUAUGAAGAAACAGAGGCUUAAGGCCUUUUUAUUCCAAUGCAAAGUCAUUAGCACCCACAAAGAAUAUUUUACUAUGGCGGAGUUUCAACAGCGUGUUACUGACAGCUUUGAUAGAAUGACUUCAUAUGGGAAGCAUGGCUUGCUGUAGAGGGACACUUGCUAGGGCCGCAGGCUGCCCACAUCAGAGGGGUCAUGUUUCCUUAAGUACUGGAAAAAAAUAAUCCCUUUAUGGGCUCUCCAGCCCAUUGGUCAAUUUUAAUUUUCAGCUUUCCCUUCAAAAGGACCCUCUAUUCUGAUGUGAUUGAAAGUGGCUUGCAGAAAAGGCCCUUUUUUUUUUUCUCAUCAGAUCACCUUAAUAGUUUAUGCCCCGUAUAAAAUGUAACUGAUCUAAAAAUAAUAAUAGAGAAUUUAUACUUAUUUUUACUUUAAAAGCCAUGGAAGACGGUUAUGUAUCUUAAACUGUCUAGAGCAUUUUUGAAAGCACUUGUCUUGUGUACGUGCAUAUUAUACCGUGACAGCUUUCAUCGUCUUGUCUCUCGUCAGUAGACCUGCAGUACAGUCUGUGGGAGAUGUCAGUCAAGUUGUUCAGCACCAGCAUCUGUCCAGAUGUUCAGUAUCUGUGGCUUAGGUGCUGUAUCUGAGGGAUGUGUUGCAAUUUUCUUUACAAACACUAGAGCACACAGUAGAAGAAUAGUAGUUUCAUUAGUAAUAUGACACAUGUAUAUAGUGAGAUGUCUUCAUUGUGUGCUUUGCAUAUUUUGUAAAUAUUUUGCACGUCAUUAUUUUCCUUUUUUGUUUGAGCAGUGUUUGGCCUGGAAGAGUAAUAUGCUUGCUGCUUAAAGGAUUAAAGAUUUAAAGG
rnacentral:lncRNA from 1 species